UAAGUUAGAAAGGGCGCACGGUGGAUGCCUUGACACUAGGAGUCGAUGAAGGACGGGACUAACGCCGAUAUGCUUCGGGGAGCUGUAAGUAAGCUUUGAUCCGAAGAUUUCCGAAUGGGGAAACCCACCAUACGUAAUGGUAUGGUAUCCUUAUCUGAAUACAUAGGGUAAGGAAGACAGACCCAGGGAACUGAAACAUCUAAGUACCUGGAGGAAGAGAAAGCAAAUGCGAUUUCCUGAGUAGCGGCGAGCGAAACGGAACAUAGCCCAAACCAAGAGGCUUGCCUCUUGGGGUUGUAGGACAUUCUAUACGGAGUUACAAAGGAACGAGGUAGACGAAGCGACCUGGAAAGGUCCGUCGUAGAGGGUAACAACCCCGUAGUCGAAACUUCGUUCUCUCUUGAAUGUAUCCUGAGUACGGCGGAACACGUGAAAUUCCGUCGGAAUCUGGGAGGACCAUCUCCCAAGGCUAAAUACUCCCUAGUGAUCGAUAGUGAACCAGUACCGUGAGGGAAAGGUGAAAAGCACCCCGGAAGGGGAGUGAAAGAGAUCCUGAAACCGUGUGCCUACAAAUAGUCAGAGCCCGUUAAUGGGUGAUGGCGUGCCUUUUGUAGAAUGAACCGGCGAGUUACGAUCCCGUGCGAGGUUAAGCUGAAGAGGCGGAGCCGCAGCGAAAGCGAGUCUGAAUAGGGCGUUUAGUACGUGGUCGUAGACCCGAAACCAGGUGAUCUACCCAUGUCCAGGGUGAAGUUCAGGUAACACUGAAUGGAGGCCCGAACCCACGCACGUUGAAAAGUGCGGGGAUGAGGUGUGGGUAGCGGAGAAAUUCCAAUCGAACCUGGAGAUAGCUGGUUCUCCCCGAAAUAGCUUUAGGGCUAGCCUUAAGUGUAAGAGUCUUGGAGGUAGAGCACUGAUUGGACUAGGGGUCCUCAUCGGAUUACCGAAUUCAGUCAAACUCCGAAUGCCAAUGACUUAUCCUUAGGAGUCAGACUGCGAGUGAUAAGAUCCGUAGUCAAAAGGGAAACAGCCCAGACCGCCAGCUAAGGUCCCAAAGUGUGUAUUAAGUGGAAAAGGAUGUGGAGUUGCUUAGACAACUAGGAUGUUGGCUUAGAAGCAGCCACCAUUUAAAGAGUGCGUAAUAGCUCACUAGUCGAGUGACUCUGCGCCGAAAAUGUACCGGGGCUAAAUACACCACCGAAGCUGCGGAUUGAUACCAAUGGUAUCAGUGGUAGGGGAGCGUUCUAAGGACAGUGAAGUCAGACCGGAAGGACUGGUGGAGUGCUUAGAAGUGAGAAUGCCGGUAUGAGUAGCGAAAGACGGGUGAGAAUCCCGUCCACCGAAUGCCUAAGGUUUCCUGAGGAAGGCUCGUCCGCUCAGGGUUAGUCAGGACCUAAGCCGAGGCCGACAGGCGUAGGCGAUGGACAACAGGUUGAUAUUCCUGUACCACCUCUUUAUCGUUUGAGCAAUGGAGGGACGCAGAAGGAUAGAAGAAGCGUGCGAUUGGUUGUGCACGUCCAAGCAGUUAGGCUGAUAAGUAGGCAAAUCCGCUUAUCGUGAAGGCUGAGCUGUGAUGGGGAAGCUCCUUAUGGAGCGAAGUCUUUGAUUCCCCGCUGCCAAGAAAAGCUUCUAGCGAGAUAAAAGGUGCCUGUACCGCAAACCGACACAGGUAGGCGAGGAGAGAAUCCUAAGGUGUGCGAGAGAACUCUGGUUAAGGAACUCGGCAAAAUGACCCCGUAACUUCGGGAGAAGGGGUGCUUUCUUAACGGAAAGCCGCAGUGAAUAGGCCCAAGCGACUGUUUAGCAAAAACACAGCUCUCUGCGAAGCCGUAAGGCGAAGUAUAGGGGGUGACACCUGCCCGGUGCUGGAAGGUUAAGGAGAGGGGUUAGCGUAAGCGAAGCUCUGAACUGAAGCCCCAGUAAACGGCGGCCGUAACUAUAACGGUCCUAAGGUAGCGAAAUUCCUUGUCGGGUAAGUUCCGACCCGCACGAAAGGUGUAACGAUUUGGGCACUGUCUCAACCAGAGACUCGGUGAAAUUAUAGUACCUGUGAAGAUGCAGGUUACCCGCGACAGGACGGAAAGACCCCGUGGAGCUUUACUGUAGCCUGAUAUUGAAUUUUGGUACAGUUUGUACAGGAUAGGCGGGAGCCUUUGAAACCGGAGCGCUAGCUUCGGUGGAGGCGCUGGUGGGAUACCGCCCUGACUGUAUUGAAAUUCUAACCUACGGGUCUUAUCGACCCGGGAGACAGUGUCAGGUGGGCAGUUUGACUGGGGCGGUCGCCUCCUAAAGUGUAACGGAGGCGCCCAAAGGUUCCCUCAGAAUGGUUGGAAAUCAUUCGUAGAGUGCAAAGGCAUAAGGGAGCUUGACUGCGAGACCUACAAGUCGAGCAGGGACGAAAGUCGGGCUUAGUGAUCCGGUGGUUCCGCAUGGAAGGGCCAUCGCUCAACGGAUAAAAGCUACCCCGGGGAUAACAGGCUUAUCUCCCCCAAGAGUCCACAUCGACGGGGAGGUUUGGCACCUCGAUGUCGGCUCAUCGCAUCCUGGGGCUGUAGUCGGUCCCAAGGGUUGGGCUGUUCGCCCAUUAAAGCGGUACGCGAGCUGGGUUCAGAACGUCGUGAGACAGUUCGGUCCCUAUCCGUCGUGGGCGUAGGAAAUUUGAGAGGAGCUGUCCUUAGUACGAGAGGACCGGGAUGGACGCACCGCUGGUGUACCAGUUGUUCUGCCAAGGGCAUAGCUGGGUAGCUAUGUGCGGAAGGGAUAAGUGCUGAAAGCAUCUAAGCAUGAAGCCCCCCUCAAGAUGAGAUUUCCCAUAGCGUAAGCUAGUAAGAUCCCUGAAAGAUGAUCAGGUUGAUAGGUUCGAGGUGGAAGCAUGGUGACAUGUGGAGCUGACGAAUACUAAUAGAUCGAGGACUUAACCA
rnacentral:rRNA from 3 species